AUUGAACGCUGGCGGCAUGCUUUACACAUGCAAGUCGAACGGCAGCGCGGGGCAACCUGGCGGCGAGUGGCGAACGGGUGAGUAAUAUAUCGGAACGUACCCAAGAGUGGGGGAUAACGUAGCGAAAGUUACGCUAAUACCGCAUACGAUCCAUGGAUGAAAGUGGGGGAUUCGCAAGAACCUCAUGCUCCUGGAGCGGCCGAUAUCUGAUUAGCUAGUUGGUGAGGUAAAGGCUCACCAAGGCGACGAUCAGUAGCUGGUCUGAGAGGACGACCAGCCACACUGGGACUGAGACACGGCCCAGACUCCUACGGGAGGCAGCAGUGGGGAAUUUUGGACAAUGGGCGCAAGCCUGAUCCAGCAAUGCCGCGUGAGUGAAGAAGGCCUUCGGGUUGUAAAGCUCUUUUGUCAGGGAAGAAACGGUUGGGGCUAAUAUCCCCGGCUAAUGACGGUACCUGAAGAAUAAGCACCGGCUAACUACGUGCCAGCAGCCGCGGUAAUACGUAGGGUGCAAGCGUUAAUCGGAAUUACUGGGCGUAAAGCGUGCGCAGGCGGUUUUGUAAGUCUGUCGUGAAAGCCCCGGGCUCAACCUGGGAAUUGCGAUGGAGACUGCAAGGCUUGAAUCUGGCAGAGGGGGGUAGAAUUCCACGUGUAGCAGUGAAAUGCGUAGAGAUGUGGAGGAACACCGAUGGCGAAGGCAGCCCCCUGGGUCAAGAUUGACGCUCAUGCACGAAAGCGUGGGGAGCAAACAGGAUUAGAUACCCUGGUAGUCCACGCCCUAAACGAUGUCUACUAGUUGUCGGGUCUUAAUUGACUUGGUAACGCAGCUAACGCGUGAAGUAGACCGCCUGGGGAGUACGGUCGCAAGAUUAAAACUCAAAGGAAUUGACGGGGACCCGCACAAGCGGUGGAUGAUGUGGAUUAAUUCGAUGCAACGCGAAAAACCUUACCUACCCUUGACAUGUCAGGAACCUCCGAGAGAUUGGAGGGUGCCCGAAAGGGAACCUGAACACAGGUGCUGCAUGGCUGUCGUCAGCUCGUGUCGUGAGAUGUUGGGUUAAGUCCCGCAACGAGCGCAACCCUUGUCAUUAGUUGCUACGAAAGGGCACUCUAAUGAGACUGCCGGUGACAAACCGGAGGAAGGUGGGGAUGACGUCAAGUCCUCAUGGCCCUUAUGGGUAGGGCUUCACACGUCAUACAAUGGUACAUACAGAGGGCCGCCAACCCGCGAGGGGGAGCUAAUCCCAGAAAGUGUAUCGUAGUCCGGAUCGCAGUCUGCAACUCGACUGCGUGAAGUUGGAAUCGCUAGUAAUCGCGGAUCGGCAUGUCGCGGUGAAUACGUUCCCGGGUCU
rnacentral:rRNA from 1 species